rnacentral:rRNA from 1 species
CUCAGUGUCAGUAUCAGUCCAGGUGGUCGCCUUCGCCACUGGUGUUCCUUCCUAUAUCUACGCAUUUCACCGCUACACAGGAAAUUCCACCACCCUCUACCAUACUCUAGCUUGUCAGUUUUGAAUGCAGUUCCCAGGUUGAGCCCGGGGCUUUCACAUCCAACUUAACAAACCACCUACGCGCGCUUUACGCCCAGUAAUUCCGAUUAACGCUUGCACCCUCUGUAUUACCGCGGCUGCUGGCACAGAGUUAGCCGGUGCUUAUUCUGUCGGUAACGUCAAAACAGCAACGUAUUAAGUUACUGCCCUUCCUCCCAACUUAAAGUGCUUUACAAUCCGAAGACCUUCUUCACACACGCGGCAUGGCUGGAUCAGGCUUUCGCCCAUUGUCCAAUAUUCCCCACUGCUGCCUCCCGUAGGAGUCUGGACCGUGUCUCAGUUCCAGUGUGACUGAUCAUCCUCUCAGACCAGUUACGGAUCGUCGCCUUGGUGAGCCAUUACCUCACCAACUAGCUAAUCCGACCUAGGCUCAUCUGAUAGCGCAAGGCCCGAAGGUCCCCUGCUUUCUCCCGUAGGACGUAUGCGGUAUUAGCGUCCCUUUCGAGACGUUGUCCCCCACUACCAGGCAGAUUCCUAGGCAUUACUCACCCGUCCGCCGCUGAAUCAGAGAGCAAGCUCUCUUCAUCCGCUCGACUUGCAUGUGUUAGGCCUGCCGCCAGCGUUCAAU